rnacentral:misc_RNA from 1 species
AACCAUUCUCACCUGCGGCUAGACCUGCGGAGGGAUCAUUACCGAGUUUACAACUCCCAAACCCCUGUGAACAUACCGUUUUCGUUGCCUCGGCGGGAGGCCCCGGGGGGCGUGCGCUGGACCUCGCGUCCGCCUCGCGCCCUCCCGGACCCCAUGGCUGCCCGCCGGAGGACCCAAACCCAAACUCUUUGUAUCUUACGAGGAUUUCAUACUUCUGAGUAAACAUGGCGAAAGCCGAAA